rnacentral:rRNA from 1 species
UACGUAGGGUGCAAGCGUUAAUCGGAAUUACUGGGCGUAAAGCGUGCGCAGGCGGUUCCAUAAGACAGAUGUGAAAUCCCCGGGCUCAACCUGGGAACUGCAUUUGUGAAUGUGGGGCUAGAGUACGGGAGAGGGGGAUGGAAUUCCGCGUGUAGCAGUGAAAAGCGUAGAUAUGCGGAGGAACACCAAUGGCGAAGGCAAUCCCCUGGACCUGUACUGACGCUCAUGCACGAAAGCGUGGGGAGCAAACAGG